rnacentral:rRNA from 1 species
UACGGAAUGUGCAAACGUUAUUCGGAAUCACUGGGCUUAAAGAGUCCGUAGGCGGCAUGUUAGGUGAGGUGUGAAAUCCCCCGGCUCAACCGAGGAAUUGCGCUUCAAACCGGCGUGCUUGAGGAAGAUAGAGGUGGGCGGAACGUGAUGGUGGAGCGGUGAAAUGCGUUGAUAUCAUCAGGACACCGGAGGCGAAGGCGGCCCACUGGGUCUUUUCUGACGCUGAGGGACGAAAGCUAGGGGAGCGAACGGGAUAGAA